AUAACUAUCAUUUCCUUUGCCUUUGCAAUGAACAAAACAAAAAAUAUUUGUAGCAAAUUGACUUGACUACAAAAUGGCUAUUUUGUGGAUGCAUUAAUUUCCGCCAUUCAGAUUGAAAAUACAUAUGAAACUUGUGGCUAUUCAAUCAGAAUAUAACAAACAUACCUGUAUUUAAAAAUUCUAUGUACAAUUUUAGUGUUUGUUAGACUUAUUUUCAGAUUAAUUGAGUAAUAUUGAUGAAGGAUCUCGAAACUAUAAUGUGAUCAAUUGUUAAAUUUGGAGGCAACUGUAUUAAAUUCUUAUAAUAAAAUGUCGUGGCCUAUGCAACCAGGGCCUUGGAAUACUGGGCUAGGUGUUCCGUCAGAUAUUAAUAUGGCAUCUUAUACUCCGGAGCAAUGGGCAAUGCUUCAACAACAAAAUUGGCAGCAGUGGACUCAGUGGCAACAGCAAUAUGCCCAGUGGCAAAAUCAAUGCGGAGAAAAGUAUCUUGGACAAAUACAAGCAAUGCAAUCAAUGGGUGGAGUGCCUCCCCUUCCACCAUCUAAUGCUGCAACACUGCCAGCACCUCCACCACCAGAUAAGCCACCUCCACCACCCCCACCACAUGAGAACAACCAACCUUUGUAUGGCAGUGUGCCAACCAAACUAGCUCCAGUUCCACCACCUCAGCAUAAGCCAGGAACUUAUAACUAUACUAUACCUACAGCAGGUAAUAAUAUCAACUCAUCCUCUACUGCAGUCAUCAGCCAAGAUGUGACAUCUUCGGUAAAUGCAGACGCCUUAAAAAAGCUUGCAGAGGAAGAAAGACUCUUUGAUAUUCAAUUUCAGAAAUGGGAGGAGGAGAUUGAUAAAUGGCGAAGGGAAAAUAUUAACCACCCUGACAAACAAGCCUAUAAGGAAUAUGAACAAAAGUUUGAAGCAUGCAGAGCGCAACUGCUUGAGCGACGUCAGCAAAUGAAACAAAAAAAAGCAAGCCUUUUGGCAUCUGGAAAUACAAACAUUGCAAAAUUCCAAAGCAAUCCUCCACCUCUUCCACCAACUCCUGUUCGACCACCACCACAAAACACAAAUCAUAGUAAUUUGCAAUCUAAAUACCAAGAAAAUACCAAAAAUAAUUAUUCUUCUCACUAUGAGAUUAAGAGUAAUCAGCCAGGCAAAAAUUCUCCCUUAAACUACAACAAUAGUAAUGUUAAAGAUUUAGAACCACAAAAUCAAAUCCAAGCGAAUGAAACUACAAGAUAUGAUAUUUCUACAAAUGAUUAUAAUAAUACAACAGGAAAUACUAAUUUUCUGCCCACAAGUAACUCAGUUGAAGGUAUACCUGGAUUAGAUUUGGUACCAGAAAGAGACAAAAGUUUGGCAGAAACUUCUAAAGUAGAUUUAACAGUUGACGAUCACAAUGAAAGUAAUACAACACAAGCAAGGCCUAAAAAACCUGAUUAUACCACAAUUUCGAAAGGAAUUGACAACAUUCUUGGUGAUGAAAAAAUUAUGAACAUUCUUUCAAUGGUACGAGUCACUAAUGCACCAAGUUCAUCUAUCAACAGUACUUUAUGCUCCAAUAAUAAUCACAACUAUACACAGAACAAUCAAGUGAAGAGCUUAGAGGAAAAUAACUACACUCAAGAAUAUGACAAUAUUCGUGAGCACUAUGAAAAUGAUCAAGAAUAUGCUGAGAGUCCAUCAUACCACGAUGAUAAUGCACAACAUGCAUACAAUCAAUUUCACAAUCAACAAUAUCAUAAUGAUCAGCAAUAUGGCAGUAGUCCACAAUGUGAUCAACAACAGCAACAACAGGGAAGCACUCAACAAUUCAGAAAUCAACAGUAUGGACAUAAACAACAAUAUGAGAACAAUCAACAAUAUAAAAUUAAACAAUUUGGAAACAAUCAACAACAACAUGAGAUUAAACAACAAUAUGGAAAUAAUCAACAUAUUAUAAAUAUGCAACAAAAUAGAAACACUCAACAAUAUGGAAAUAAUCAACACUAUGAGAAGACUCAACACUUUGAGAAUAUUUUUCAGCAACAAAAUGAUCAACAGUUCCAGAAUAAUCAACAACAAUAUGGAAACAAACAGCCAUAUUUUAAUAAAAAUUCUGGCCAAAAUUUCUCUAUUCCUCAAAAUCAACAAAUUAUGAAUAGAUUCCCACCUCCAAACCAAGUAAAUGAUCAGUCUCAACAUCAAUAUUACAAUAAAAAUUCUUCAUUUGAUGGUAUUCAUAACAAUGGACCUCGGUUUAACAAUGGGCCACCUCCUAGGAAUAUUGGACCACCUCAAAGGUCUGCUGCUCCAAAUUUAAGACCUGUUAUACCUCUUCAAAGGUCUGCUAUACAAUCAACAAGACCACCUGUACCGACUCCAAGGCAUGCUUCACUGCCAUUCCUGAGAGCUGGUGUUCCACCAGCUAGGCCACCCCUGCAAGAUGUAUCUACAAGGCAAAAUGUGGGUGAUAAUUACACAGGAUUUCAAGAGAGGGAAUCUGUUCCAAAAUUACCACAAGUCCCGAAAUGGGCUGAGGAGCCAAUGUUUGCACCUUCAAUAGUAGUGGAAUAUGAACACAAAUCUUUAAGAUUAAAAGCCCGAGAAUUCAUUGUACCAGUACACACUUUCGACUACAAUCAUAAAUCAAAAGAUGAAGACUUAAAAAAAGAUGAUUUUGAAAGAGAAGUUGAUGAAUUAUUUUCAAAGAAACCAACAACUUACAGUGAAAAUAUCACACAUGAAAGAAAAAGAGAGGAAAGAUAUUCUACUGAAUAUGAGAAACGGCCAAUGAGAGAAUUUUUGCAUGAUGAUUACAGAAUGAAACCGCGAGAUGAUUAUGAAAGACGAAGAUACGACGACAGAAGAAGAGACGAUCGUGAUAAAUUUACAAGGCGUGAUGAUUUUGCAAGACGCGAUGACUUCGCUAGACGCGAUGACUUCGCUAGACGCGAUGACUUCGCCAGACGCGAUGACUUCGCCAGACGCGACGACUUCGUCAGACGCGAUGACUUCGCCAGACGCGAUGACUUUGCCAGACGCGAUGAUUUUGCAAAACGUGAUGACUUUGCAAGACGCGAUGACUACUCAAGACUUGAAGAGUUUACAAAACGAUCUGAUGAUUUGACAAGACGUGACGAUAUAAGAAGGUCUGAUUACGCCAGGAGAGACGAGCACAGAGAUAGGAAUAGAGGCAGGGACAGAAGUAGAGAACGUAGGAGAGAUGACCAAAAAAAUCGCAGUCGAAGUCGCGAUAGAGAACCUCGUAAGAGAGCACACAGUAAAGAAAGUCAGUCUAGUAAUUGCUCAGCAAAAAAAUCAAAGGAAGAUACUGAAAUGAAAUGUAUUGACAAAUUGCAGCACACUAUUAUGAUCGAUGACAUAUUGGAACCACCAGGACGCGACAUGAGGCCCGAUAAAUUAGUAAUUAUACUUCGAGGUCCACCCGGCAGUGGAAAGUCAUAUUUGGCUAAGUUAAUUAGAGAUAAAGAAGCGGAACAUGGUGGCACAGCAAGAAUAAUGUCGAUCGAUGAUUAUUUCAUGCAAGAAGGAGAGGUAGAGGAGAGAGACCCCACUACAGGAAAAACAAUUAAAAAACCAACUCUGAAAUACGAGUUUGAUAAAGACUGUGAGGAGUCGUACGUGAAUUCAUUGAAAAGAGCAUUCAAGAGAAGCAUAACCGACGGGUACUUUUCAUUUCUGAUUUACGACGCGGUCAAUGAUCUCCAUAGACAUUAUGCUGAUAUUUGGAACUUUGCAAGGCAGAAUGGUUUCCAGGUAUACGUAUGUACAAUGGAGCUUGACCCUCAAGUCUGUUACAAGCGUAACAUUCACAACCGUACACUGGAAGACAUAGAAAUUAUAUGUACACGGUUCUUCCCGACGCCGAGUCACCACAUACAACUGGAUCCGACCACGUUACUGCAGAGCGCGGCCAUUACGGAUGUUCACAUGGAAGACGUGCAAGACGAAGUUAUAGCCGAUGAUACACGAGAAACUGAGGUUGAAAACGUUUUUACUUCGAAGUGGGAGAGAAUGGACGACGCCGCGCAACUAGCGAAACUCGACGGAACCAGCAAACCGCUUCGGCCAUCACAACUCUCCAUGGAAGACUACCUACAGCUAGACGACUGGACGCCGAACAAGGCGACGCCGGGAAAGAAAACCGUAAUAAAAAGAAACGAACGCCGCGGAUGAACAAUAAAUGGCAAAACAUUAAAAAUAGAUCUCAAUAAUAUUUCAAGAAAGAAAUAUGGGAUAAGUGAAGAUACAAAAUUUAUGGGCUAAGAAAUUAUAGAGCUUCGUUCUGGUUUGUAUAUUUAUCAAGUGUAAUCUUAAUCGAAAAAGUGGAUAAACUGACAGCAGAUAUGGUACCAAGCAUACACGCAUACACCUUAGUUAAAGGAUAGACGGUCAAUGGUUCCUAAGUUAACAAUCUUGUGUAUACCGGGCUGAAUCUUUUUGUUGUUAUCUUAGAGGGGCAGAGGAAGCAUACCGAUGCCUCUGCUUAAAAUCGCGACAAAGCUUAAAAAUUAAAUACGGGUUUUAUUUGUAUGGGAAUAACGGAUAGAAUCCUUUCAACUGGACUCAACUCUACACCCUCACACUACACGCCUAGUCCUUAGCAGUAAUGCGUUUCGUUUUGAAGGGUGGGCCAGCCGUUGUACUGUCAAAACUGAGACCUUAGAAUUCAUAUCUCAAGGUGAGUGAGGGUAUUACAUUGUAUAUUUCUAUGCGCUCCGAACACCAAGUGGAUCGUGAGCUUGUCCACCCAUCUAAGCAAUAAAAAAAAGGAUUUUACGGAUUUCGUUUCUCGACGAAGGUACCUAAGGUAGCCGUUGUGACUACAAAACUUCGUAGGUUCUUAUGUGUAAGGUUAGUGGCAUUUACGUUGAAAAAAGAUAUUCGGGGACACUUGGUGUGUAGUCUCAUGCGUAUUCUACAGGAUAUCCCAGUCCAAGCGUAUCCUAGACGUGUUUUAGUAAGUAUGAAUCUCUAACUUAACGAAUAACUUGGUCUUCCUAACAGAUGCGAUACCUAUGCGGACUCGCAUGACCUACACCACCAGCGAUUACGCAAAUUAUAACUUUGCGUGUCCGAUUUUAAUUGCACGAUGCUAUUCCUUCACCGUGGAAGCUAAUCAAGAAUAUUUGUUAAGUACGUAUUUCAUUAGAAAAAUUUGUACCUACCUGCCUGCGAGAUUCGCUUACGAAUACGAAUACAGCGAGCGUUUUAUCUUUUAGGCCACGACGACUUCAAAUUUUUAUUUAUAAAAAAUAUUAUAGUGAGCAUGACCGUAUUUAUACGCCAUAAAACACAAUGGAUAUUGCAUUGAAUAUCGAAAAGUGGUUUGAGCAGAAAAAUAUGAUGGAAUGAAAUCUGUCUUGGGCUAGCUUCACGUAUAUAACAUAUGUACGUGGUAACAAAGCCUAAUCCAAAAUGUAACGAUGUUUCACUUUGAAUGUAUACAACAGCUUAUUGAUUUAUAGUCUACUCAUUCUCACGGCCGAUGGCAUUAAGUAGGCUGUGUCAGGUCAUAUGUGCAGAUGAGCUUAUGGCUCACCUGCUGAGAAGUGGUUACCGGAAAACCACUGCUAUGAUACGUGAUGUGAAAGUUACAUUACAUUGCAAUAACUGCUACGCAGCAGGAUGCGGAUGAAUAAUACCCACCAUGCCCAGUAAUUAUGUAAAUAAUUUAAACUUCUGAAUUAUUCUAGAGCUCUAAUAGACAUUGCAAUUGGUUUCAUGCAAAAUUUCACGAAGAACUGUGAACAUAAUGGUGUCCGAACUCUCUCUACUAAAAAAAAUUUGUUUACUUUUGGUAGCUUAUCAAAAUCUACCUCUUCAAGGUAUAUCUCACAGAUUUCCUUCAUCUUUAUUAGAAAGUUUCAACAUAGUUCAUAGAGAAGAUUGCAAGAUUGUUUAUUAAAUAAAAUUAUAAUAACACGUUUAGAAGAUAAGCAACAAACAACUAAAGGGCGGAUGAAACUGCUCGAUAGACUGACGGUCCAAAUUUUGUUCGGAACUUGGAUAUAUGAAAGCUUAUCAUGUCCUGUUAUAUACAAUGUCGUUAGCGAGAUCAAGGCAUCUGUCAAAUAUCGUGCGUUCUGUGAACAAUUUUCCGAAGGCUUUGAAGGCCGAACUCAAGGGCUCGAUCAGCAGGAGAAGGUUUGCUAACAGCUGCCCAAACUUUUUAGAAGGAAAGUUAACAACUAAAGGCAGCUGGUUUGCAAGUGAAUCUACCCUCUGAUUAGAAUCGUGUUCUGCUGAGAAGACCCAACGAGAAACUCACCAAGCUGAUACUACGGUCUGAGAUGCAUGUCGAAUUUUUCGGCGAGUUCGUCAAGUAGGUAGGCAGCGGCUUGGCUCUUCUCCUGGCAUUGCUGAAGUCUAUGGGCGACGGUAACCACUUACCAUCAGGUGGGCUGUAAGCCCGUCUGCCUACAUGGGCAAUAAAAAAAAAGUACGGUGACCUCUUUGGUUGUUGCUGCCAGCAGCUGCCAGCAGUGUUGCAAAAUCCGCGAAGAUUUGUGUCCUACGGUUGUAAGUACAUUUAAAUGUCUUUGAUAUUAAUGAACAUUAAAAUAUUAAAGGAUUAAG